rnacentral:rRNA from 1 species
UACGUAGGGGGCAAGCGUUGUCCGGAUUUACUGGGCGUAAAGCGCGCGUAGGUGGAACGAUCAGUCCGGUCUGAAAGCCCCCGGCUCAACCGGGGAGGGUGGCUGGAAACUGUCGUUCGUUGAGGGCGAGAGAGGAGGGUGGAAUUCCUGGUGUAGGCGGUGAAAUGCGUAGAGAUCAGGAGGAACACCCGUGGCGAAGGCGGCCCUCUGGCUCGACCCUGACGCUGAGGCGCGAAAGCGUGGGGAGCGAACGGG